rnacentral:rRNA from 1 species
AUUGAACGCUGGCGGCAUGCCUUACACAUGCAAGUCGAACGGUAACGGGCCUUCGGGUGCCGACGAGUGGCGAACGGGUGAGUAAUACAUCGGAACGUGCCCGAUCGUGGGGGAUAACGAGGCGAAAGCUUUGCUAAUACCGCAUACGAUCUACGGAUGAAAGCAGGGGACCGCAAGGCCUUGCGCGGACGGAGCGGCCGAUGGCAGAUUAGGUAGUUGGUGGGAUAAAAGCUUACCAAGCCGACGAUCUGUAGCUGGUCUGAGAGGAUGAUCAGCCACACUGGGACUGAGGCACGGCCCAGACUCCUACGGGAGGCAGCAGUGGGGAAUUUUGGACAAUGGGCGCAAGCCUGAUCCAGCCAUGCCGCGUGCAGGAUGAAGGCCUUCGGGUUGUAAACUGCUUUUGUACGGAACGAAAAGCCUUCUUUUAAUACAGGAGGGUCAUGACGGUACCGGAAGAAUAAGCACCGGCUAACUACGUG